UUCCAUCCCUGCCACCCCAGCCAUGGGCCCUGAGUGAUGGCCUCUGACACACCCUGGGUGGGUCAGGUAUUCUCAUGCCUUUCCUGGAGCUUCAGAGUCUACUGCUUCUUGCCUCUGGGUCCUGGCACUGGAAUGAUACAGACCUCAGGGUCCCAGGGGUGAUUUGUCUUCCUGGCCAUAUGGAAGACGUUUUGCACUGGAAGAGAGCGAGAUGAACACGCAGAAAGAAGUAGAGCUGAAGAGAGACUACAGAAAAGGGAAAGCAGGAAAGGAAAAUAGCAGGAGAUAAGGAUGGAGGCAGAGACAUGCCCCAGGAUGCUGUCUGAGUCCCUGGAUGCCAAACCCACUUCUGAUCAUCCCAGGUGGUGUUGCCUUGAUGUUGAUGGCUGCUGACUGAUCAGGGGCUGGUUGCUGAAGGUUGGGAUAACUGGGCUAUGUUACCUAGGGUGCUGAAGGAGCCCACUGGCCCAAGAGGACACCCUUUUCAGGUUCCCUGGGUGGCUGAUCUUGGAACCGUGCUCUUCUCCAGGGUGGUGUGACCAGCAGCCAACCUCUCUGCAGCCUACAGGGGCUCGUUAUCCCGUCUGUAGGUUACUCAGAUCUUCCAGGUUUUGGAGUCCUCUGGCUCUUCGUCUUCCUCAGCUCACUGCUGCUCAUUAGUGCCUCCUAGAGGAUGAGCAGGGGAAUCACAGAACCCAGCUCAGAAGUCGCUGCCUCUGGCAUGGGCAUCAGGGGCUCCGCUACGCCUGAGACUAGCUCCUGGCUGGACCGUGAAGGACUCAGAGGUGAUUUCCGAUUUCCGCUGUCUUUCCCCUUCAGGGAGCUUUUUGGUUAUUUACACACCAAGACAUUAAAAGAUAAAUGGAGCAAGAAUAAAAUCACAAGAAAGAUAUCACUGGUAUUACUUUACAGAAAAUCAAUUUACUAUUAAAUAUAUGUGAAUUUAAUUAACUAUAGAAUAUAAUUAAAUAUAUGCUGAUUUAAAUAGCUAUGCAAUUAAAUUAUAUUAGCAGAGAUCUUUUUAAAAAAUCAUAGCCUUAGCAAGUUCUCUUUAAAACGAAUUGCAUAUUCACCUGAUGCUGGUGAGCAUGGAAUCAGGAUGAAUGAUGAGGCAUACGGACGACAAUUCGCAAAUAUACAUCAAAAGUGUAUAUAAAAAAGUGUUCCUAGUUUUUGACUCAGUAAUUCCACUCAAGGAACAUCUUAGACCCAAAGGUGCUUCACAGCAUCAGUGAUAACAGGGAAUAUUAUACAUGGUCCAGCUGGUCUAGCUGGAAAAUGGUUAAUUGCAUUUUGGUAGAUCGACUCAAUGAAAUACUAUGUAACUAUGAAAAUUAUGUUAACAAUAAGUAUUUAAUUGUAUACAAUGCUAAUUGUAUCAAAAGGUUGGGAUGUAAAACUAAUAAUUGUAACUAAAAAAAUACAUCUAUUCUUGGAAAUAGAUUUAGAAAACAUACUAAAAUAUUAAUAGUAAUUUUAGAUACUGGGUCUAUUGAUGCUAUUUUAAAAAGGCUUUUUUUCCUAUUUUUUACUAUAUUCUGUAUUAUUUUUAUAAUGGGAAAAUAAAUAAAUGAUAAAGUUCAACCAAAUGCCUAAAAUGAACCUAGCACCUGUACUGGGAAUUGGUGAU
rnacentral:lncRNA from 1 species